rnacentral:rRNA from 1 species
CCUACGGGGGGCUGCAGUGGGGAAUAUUGGACAAUGGGCGAAAGCCUGAUCCAGCCAUGCCGCGUGUGUGAAGAAGGCCUUCGGGUUGUAAAGCACUUUCAGUGGGGAAGAAAGCCUUGGGGCUAAUACCCUCGAGGAAGGACAUCACCCACAGAAGAAGCACCGACUAACUCCGUGCCAGCAGCCGCGGUAAUACGGAGGGUGCGAGCGUUAAUCGGAAUUACUGGGCGUAAAGCGCGCGUAGGCGGUCUGAUAAGCCGGUUGUGAAAGCCCCGGGCUCAACCUGGGAACGGCAUCCGGAACUGUCAGGCUAGAGUGCAGGAGAGGAAGGUAGAAUUCCCGGUGUAGCGGUGAAAUGCGUAGAGAUCGGGAGGAAUACCAGUGGCGAAGGCGGCCUUCUGGACUGACACUGACGCUGAGGUGCGAAAGCGUGGGUAGCAAACAGGAUUAGAUACCCCGGUAGUC